AUUAUAUAUGUCGGAGACUGUCAAUAGUACGGACACUAAACGUCACGCAAGCGCGCCCUCUGGUGGCGUUUCCGGUGAAACAACAUUUUGGCGCGCUUGGCAGAGUAGUGGUGGUCGGCGUGGCGUCCGCGGAGCUCAGUCUUGGUCGAGUCGUCGUGCUGCGCACAUCUCGAUACUGCCUUUCGUUACGUGUAGUGUACCUAGUGUUAUUGCCUAGUGUUGUAGUACUGUUGUAGAUCCAUAUUGUAAAGUGUGUAAAGUGUCUUUUGAAAUUAAAGUGUAAAGGUUCUUUUAACCUAACAGACAGACAUGUGUUGCUGGGGAGUUUGUUCCGCCACUUCUUCUCCCCAAGCCAAAACACAUAGGAAGUGGCGAAGGGCGGGCGUUUUGGGGGCUGUCUUUUGUUCUGACUAAUUUGAAUAAACGUUUGAGUUUUUAGUUUGUUUGAGUUUUGAGUUUCUUUGAGUUAUCUCUUUGCUUCAUUACCCUAACUGAUGUCGGACGAUAGUGCCAUCCUUGAUGUUCGCCUCCGACAUCAGAAGUGGGAUGUAAUCCGAAUGCCCACAUGUGUUAAGGAUUGCCAUGCCAUUGUUCAAAAAGUGAAAAAGUGAUGUGCUCGUUCGGAGUGAUGUGUGGCGGCCGAUGGUUGAUUAGUUUCGAGAGAAUUCGCCACGUGAAGACAAACUUUCUGGAUUUCUGAGUGCACGAUAACAUCUAAGGUGAACCGAGCCUGGAGAACAGGACGAGGUCCACUAGUCAAGCGGCGCGCGAGGUGCGCUGCAGUUGCUGUUUGGAGCGUCAUCCUCCCCCGGAUUUGUCGUGGAGGCCGUAUGAGUUGCGGCAGGCCAGGACAUCGCAUGUCAUCGCACAAGGUGAAAGCAUUCUAUUGCAUUGAAAAUGUUUAGAUUGAUCAGACAAACUUGACAAUAACUGGCCUGUGUGGCAAUGACUGACCUGUGUGGCAGCUAGGAGCCUGUGUGGCAGCUAGGAGCCUGUGUGGCAGCUAGGAGCCUGUGUGGCAGCUAGGAGCCUGUGUGGCAGCUAGGAGCCUGUGUGGCAGCUAGGAGCCUGUGUGGCAGCUAGGAGCCUGUGUGGCAGCUAGGAGCCUGUGUGGCAGCUAGGAGCCUGUGUGGCAGCUAGGAGCCUGUGUGGCAGUUAGGAGCCUGUGUGGCAGUUAGGAGCCUGUGUGGCAGUUAGGAGCCUGUGUGGCAGUUGAUAGCCUGUGUGGCAGUUGGUAGCCUGUGUGGCAGUUGGUAGCCUGUGUGGCAUUCAAGUGUGAGCGAUAUUAAUAAGCCUGUGUGGCGUAAUUAUGACCCUAUGUGGUUCUGUGGUUCAGAUGGAUCUGUGUGACUUUUGUUCAGUGUGCUACAUAGUGGUCAGGAGUGGCCGAGGUUGUACUGUGCAUACUGUGCUGUGUUUGUGUUGUUGCAGAUUAACCCACGAGGACGUGGGUCUACGCAGGAUGGCCGUGUCGGAGACUGUCAAUAGUACGGACACUAAACGUCACGCAAGCGCGCCCUCUGGUGGCGUUUCCGGUGAAACAACAUUUUGGCGCGCUUGGCAGAGUAGUGGUGGUCGGCGUGGCGUCCGCGGAGCUCAGUCUUGGUCGAGUCGUCGUGCUGCGCACAUCUCGAUACUGCCUUUCGUUACGUGUAGUGUACCUAGUGUUAUUGCCUAGUGUUGUAGUACUGUUGUAGAUCCAUAUUGUAAAGUGUGUAAAGUGUCUUUUGAAAUUAAAGUGUAAAGGUUCUUUUAACCUAACAGACAGACAUGUGUUGCUGGGGAGUUUGUUCCGCCACUUCUUCUCCCCAAGCCAAAACACAUAGGAAGUGGCGAAGGGCGGGCGUUUUGGGGGCUGUCUUUUGUUCUGACUAAUUUGAAUAAACGUUUGAGUUUUUAGUUUGUU